rfam:Cajanus cajan chromosome 6, whole genome shotgun sequence.
UCCGUUGUAGUCUAGUUGGUCAGGAUAUUCGGCUCUCACCCGGAAGACCCGGGUUCAAGUCCCGGCAACGGAA